GGUGGGGUCGAGAGCUUGCUGCUUCGCUGACGAGUGGCGGACGGGUGAGUAAUGUCUGGGAAGCUGCCUGAUGGAGGGGGAUAACUACUGGAAACGGUAGCUAAUACCGCAUAAUGUCGCAAGACCAAAGAGGGGGACCUUCGGGCCUCUUGCCAUCGGAUGUGCCCAGAUGGGAUUAGCUUGUUGGUGGGGUAACGGCUCACCAAGGCGACGAUCCCUAGCUGGUCUGAGAGGAUGACCAGCCACACUGGAACUGAGACACGGUCCAGACUCCUACGGGAGGCAGCAGUGGGGAAUAUUGCACAAUGGGCGCAAGCCUGAUGCAGCCAUGCCGCGUGUAUGAAGAAGGCCUUCGGGUUGUAAAGACUUUCAGCGGGGAGGAAGGGACUAAACUUAAUACCUUUGCUCAUUAACGUUACCCGCAGAAGAAGCACCUGCUGGCUCCAUGCGGACAGCCGCGGGAAUAUUGAGGGUGCGAGCAUUAAUCGGAAUCACUGGGCGUAAAGCCCACGCAGGCGGUUUAUUAUGACAGAUGUGAAAUCCCCCGGCUCACCCGGGGAACUGCAUCUGAUACUGGCAAGCUUGAGUCUCGUAGAGGGGGUAGAAUUCCAUGUGUAUCGGUGAAAUGCUUAAGAUCUGGAGGAAUACCG
rnacentral:rRNA from 1 species